UUUCUCUUCUAAAUAUUACUCUGCUCACAGACAACUUAUCAAGGAUCCUUUCUCAAGUAUUUUCCAGAAUAACUUCAGUACUAUCAGCAAUUUCUGCUGCUGCCCAGGAGAAGUCUUUGCGUUGAGAGAGUUACGAAAAAGCUCCCACAAUCUUGGUUUAAGAUGAAGUCUGCCUGCUUGUUUUUAUACCGCGGUUGGGUUCAGUGCACUGCGCCUACCAGCUGGACUAACGGUUGUCAUCUGAUUGAACACCAAGACUGACCCGGUGAUCUUAAGCUCUCCAGUUUCUCUAGGACAGACCCUCCCUCGCCUGCUUCCAUGAAGAGGUGCACGGUUUCACCCCAUAGGACUGCGCCAUAUAACUCGGCAAUGUUCUCAUGCCGGAAGCAAGCCUGGAUUUCCACAUCAGAUGGCUUAAAUUGAUCUACUGGGAUCUAGAACACAGAAAUACCAUGUACAGAGACUAUAUUUAGAGCUGCAGCAAGACAGAGAAAGCAUGUAACAGAAACACAUCCCUGGUCGGACCUGAUCGUAUUUCCACCUACUGUUUAUUUUUGAGAGAGAGAGAGAGAGAGAGAGAGACACGGAAUCCAAAGCAGGCUCC